GGGUUGUGAGGUUAAGCGACUAAGCGUACACGGUGGAUGCCCUGGCAGUCAGAGGCGAUGAAGGACGUGCUAAUCUGCGAUAAGCGCCGGUAAGGUGAUAUGAACCGUUAUAACCGGCGAUUUCCGAAUGGGGAAACCCAGUGUGACUCGUCACACUAUCAUUAACUGAAUCCAUAGGUUAAUGAGGCGAACCGGGGGAACUGAAACAUCUAAGUACCCCGAGGAAAAGAAAUCAACCGAGAUUCCCCCAGUAGCGGCGAGCGAACGGGGAGGAGCCCAGAGCCUGAAUCAGCAUGUGUGUUAGUGGAAGCGUCUGGAAAGGCGCGCGAUACAGGGUGACAGCCCCGUACACAAAAGCGCAUGUGCUGUGAGCUCGAUGAGUAGGGCGGGACACGUGGUAUCCUGUCUGAAUAUGGGGGGACCAUCCUCCAAGGCUAAAUACUCCUGACUGACCGAUAGUGAACCAGUACCGUGAGGGAAAGGCGAAAAGAACCCCGGCGAGGGGAGUGAAAAAGAACCUGAAACCGUGUACGUACAAGCAGUGGGAGNNGGGCGUUAAGUUGCAGGGUAUAGACCCGAAACCCGGUGAUCUAGCCAUGGGCAGGUUGAAGGUUGGGUAACACUAACUGGAGGACCGAACCGACUAAUGUUGAAAAAUUAGCGGAUGACCUGUGGCUGGGGGUGAAAGGCCAAUCAAACCGGGAGAUAGCUGGUUCUCCCCGAAAGCUAUUUAGGUAGCGCCUCGUGAAUUCAUCUCCGGGGGUAGAGCACUGUUUCGGCUAGGGGGCCAUCCCGGCUUACCAACCCGAUGCAAACUGCGAAUACCGGAGAAUGUUAUCACGGGAGACACACGGCGGGUGCUAACGUCCGUCGUGAAGAGGGAAACAACCCAGACCGCCAGCUAAGGUCCCAAAGUCAUGGUUAAGUGGGAAACGAUGUGGGAAGGCCCAGACAGCCAGGAUGUUGGCUUAGAAGCAGCCAUCAUUUAAAGAAAGCGUAAUAGCUCACUGGUCGAGUCGGCCUGCGCGGAAGAUGUAACGGGGCUAAACCAUGCACCGAAGCUGCGGCAGCGANNUGCUGGAGGUAUCAGAAGUGCGAAUGCUGACAUAAGUAACGAUAAAGCGGGUGAAAAGCCCGCUCGCCGGAAGACCAAGGGUUCCUGUCCAACGUUAAUCGGGGCAGGGUGAGUCGACCCCUAAGGCGAGGCCGAAAGGCGUAGUCGAUGGGAAACGGGUUAAUAUUCCCGUACUUGGUGUUACUGCGAAGGGGGGACGGAGAAGGCUAUGUUGGCCGGGCGACGGUUGUCCCGGUUUAAGCGUGUAGGUGUGUGUUCCAGGUAAAUCCGGUUCACUUUAACACUGAGGCGUGACGACGAGGCACUACGGUGCUGAAGCAACAAAUGCCCUGCUUCCAGGAAAAGCCUCUAAGCAUCAGGUAACAUCAAAUCGUACCCCAAACCGACACAGGUGGUCAGGUAGAGAAUACCAAGGCGCUUGAGAGAACUCGGGUGAAGGAACUAGGCAAAAUGGUGCCGUAACUUCGGGAGAAGGCACGCUGACACGUAGGUGAAGUGAUUUACUCAUGGAGCUGAAGUCAGUCGAAGAUACCAGCUGGCUGCAACUGUUUAUUAAAAACACAGCACUGUGCAAACACGAAAGUGGACGUAUACGGUGUGACGCCUGCCCGGUGCCGGAAGGUUAAUUGAUGGGGUCAGCGCAAGCGAAGCUCCUGAUCGAAGCCCCGGUAAACGGCGGCCGUAACUAUAACGGUCCUAAGGUAGCGAAAUUCCUUGUCGGGUAAGUUCCGACCUGCACGAAUGGCGUAAUGAUGGCCAGGCUGUCUCCACCCGAGACUCAGUGAAAUUGAACUCGCUGUGAAGAUGCAGUGUACCCGCGGCAAGACGGAAAGACCCCGUGAACCUUUACUAUAGCUUGACACUGAACAUUGAGCCUUGAUGUGUAGGAUAGGUGGGAGGCUUUGAAGUGUGGACGCCAGUCUGCAUGGAGCCGACCUUGAAAUACCACCCUUUAAUGUUUGAUGUUCUAACGUGGACCCGUUACCCGGGUUGCGGACAGUGUCUGGUGGGUAGUUUGACUGGGGCGGUCUCCUCCUAAAGAGUAACGGAGGAGCACGAAGGUUGGCUAAUCCUGGUCGGACAUCAGGAGGUUAGUGCAAUGGCAUAAGCCAGCUUGACUGCGAGCGUGACGGCGCGAGCAGGUGCGAAAGCAGGUCAUAGUGAUCCGGUGGUUCUGAAUGGAAGGGCCAUCGCUCAACGGAUAAAAGGUACUCCGGGGAUAACAGGCUGAUACCGCCCAAGAGUUCAUAUCGACGGCGGUGUUUGGCACCUCGAUGUCGGCUCAUCACAUCCUGGGGCUGAAGUAGGUCCCAAGGGUAUGGCUGUUCGCCAUUUAAAGUGGUACGCGAGCUGGGUUUAGAACGUCGUGAGACAGUUCGGUCCCUAUCUGCCGUGGGCGCUGGAGAACUGAGGGGGGCUGCUCCUAGUACGAGAGGACCGGAGUGGACGCAUCACUGGUGUUCGGGUUGUCAUGCCAAUGGCACUGCCCGGUAGCUAAAUGCGGAAGAGAUAAGUGCUGAAAGCAUCUAAGCACGAAACUUGCCCCGAGAUGAGUUCUCCCUGAGACUUAGAGUCUCCUGAAGGAACGUUGAAGACGACGACGUUGAUAGGCCGGGUGUGUAAGCGCAGCGAUGCGUUGAGCUAACCGGUACUAA
rnacentral:rRNA from 1 species